ACAGUUACCAGCACCUCUAGCACAUCUUGCAUCCGCGACUUAGACCGCGACUCGAGUCGCCAUUCCCGCGGCUGUCAAAUCUGUCGAUUUCCGUAGCAUAACUUGUACCCGCGACUGCAACAGCCGCGUAGAGAACUCAAAGUCGCGGCGCGACUCGUCAGUGUUACCCGGCGAAAUCAAAGUCUAAACAAAUCGAUAUUUGCAAGUGGCAACACUGAAUCGGAAACCAGGGAUGCGCUAAAUCAUUCGUUCUUUGGUGGUAAAAAAUCUAGUUUUUUGUCGAUGGUUAAGUUUUUCCUGUCAAAGUCAAAGAACUUUCAAAUUUUGUCAGCAUUUAAUUAUGGGAAAAAAUAUGAAAAAAUGUAAGUAAUAGAGCCUUAUAUAAUUAAUAUUGAUAAUAUUCCUUAAAAUAUAUAUUGUUUAAAAAUUUCUGUUUAAUAAACCUUUUAAAUAAAAUAUUUUUGUAAGUAACUAUAAUAAUGGAAUUGCUAUUAUUGGGUUUGUUCUCAUAUUCCUGUUGUAAAUAGUGUUUUUCUUUUUCAGAAUAAGUUCAGCAUUAUCCUAGACACGAUUGAUAUCCCAGCACCCAAAGGAAAAUAUUAUUAACAGGAACGUGCCAACGGGACCCGAAGUGGAGAUUCAGGAAAAGAAACACACUAGGCAAGCUUGGUGAUAUUUAAUUGUCCUACGCCGCAUGUCGAAGAAAAAGGAAGAGAGAAAAUACUUUUCAAGGGUAAUAAAGAAGAUUCUUACAAUUUCUCUAUAGUGGUUCUAGAUGUUAAUAUAUAUUAGGUUUAAUAAUAAGAAGUCGAAUAUUGCAAGAAUAUAUAAGGCAAAGCAAUAUACUAUUAAUUUAAAUA